CACAGGCGUCCAAAGAGACAACGGAGACAAGAGAAUUGGAACCCCCUUAGAAAGUUUACUUCUGUUUUAAUUUACUUUUGUCAUCUAGCUUCCUAAUUUUUAACAUCUUAUGGAAUAUAAAUGAUUAAUUAUUGUACAGUUAAAUCUCCUCAGAUGGACCCAAAAUAUGUUAUCAAUAAUUCUGAUAUGAAAUACAUCAAUAUAUCAGUUUAAGAAAGGAAUGUUAUUUAUGAUUCCUACGCUUCAUCUAACAAAAUACCAGCAGGCAGCAAUGUUAAGUGACAGCAUUUUUGAAAGGACCAUUUUGUUUUUUCAUACUUUUCACCUCUUGUUCAACAAUGUUCUCUGAAGACACUGAAAUUAAAAGAGGAACCCCGGCCUCAGAUUAGCUCAUAGCCCUGGCGGGCAGCUUGAAUUCAGCCUUGUGGGACUAUGCGCAGAGAACUCAGCUAACCCACGCCCACACUUCUGACCUGCAGAAAUUGCAAGCUUUCAUAAAAGGACUUGUAGAAAGUUUCAUUUCUAAGCUCAACAUAAACCUGAUGCUAUGAUAGAAGAAAAAUUUUUGAGUCUCAGCAGAGAGACACUAAAUGAAGCUAUUUGUUAAUUCUCCACAUGCUGGGAAAGAUGUCGUUGACAUAUGUGGAUAGAUUUGAUCAACCUGAAAAGCUUAUAUACUAAAAAGGUAAAAGUUGAGGAUGCUGAAUAGUAUCAAAUAUUGAAGAUGAGUAAUAUCCUGGAAGCUA